rnacentral:rRNA from 1 species
CCUACGGGUGGCAGCAGUGAGGAAUAUUGGUCAAUGGACGAAAGCCUGAACCAGCCAAGUCGCGUGAGGGAAGACUGCCCUAUGGGUUGUAAACUUCUUUUAUCUGGGAAUAAAAUGUUCCACGUGUGGGAGUUUGUAUGUACCAUAUGAAAAAGGAUCGGCUAACUCCGUGCCAGCAGCCGCGGUAAUACGGAGGAUGCGAGCGUUAUCCGGAUUUAUUGGGUUUAAAGGGAGCGUAGGUGGAUCGUUAAGUCAGUUGUGAAAGUUUGCGGCUCAAACGUAAAAUGGCAGUUGAAACUGGCAGUCUUGAGUACAGUAGAGGUGGGCGGAAUGCGUGGUGUAGCGGUGAAAUGCUUAGAUAUCACGAAGAACUCCGAUUGCGAAGGCAGCUCACUGGACUGCAACUGACACUGAGGCUCGAAAGUGUGGGUAUCAAACAGGAUUAGAUACCCGGGUAGUC